rnacentral:rRNA from 1 species
GAUAAACGCUGGCGGCGCACAUAAGACAUGCAAGUCGAACGAACUUAACCAUUAGUUUACUAUUGGAGCGGUUAGUGGCGGACUGGUGAGUAACACGUAAGCAACCUGCCUAUCAGAGGGGAACAACAGUUAGAAAUGACUGCUAAUACCGCAUAUGCCUUGAGUAUCGCAUGAUACAAAAGGGAAAGGAGCAAUCCGCUGAUAGAUGGGCUUGCGUCUGAUUAGAUAGUUGGUGGGGUAAAGGCCUACCAAGUCGACGAUCAGUAGCCGGACUGAGAGGUUGAACGGCCACAUUGGGACUGAGAUACGGCCCAGACUCCUACGGGAGGCAGCAGUCGGGAAUAUUGCGCAAUGGAGGAAACUCUGACGCAGUGACGCCGCGUGCAGGAAGAAGGUUUUCGGAUUGUAAACUGCUUUAGACAGGGAUGAUAAUGACAGUACCUGUAAAAUAAGCUCCGGCUAACUACGUGCCAGCAGCCGCGGUAAUACGUAGGGAGCAAGCGUUAUCCGGAUUUAUUGGGUGUAAAGGGUGCGUAGACGGGAAGGCAAGUUGGUUGUGAAAUCCCUCGGCUUAACUGAGGAACUGCAACCAAAACUAUCUUUCUUGAGUGCUGGAGAGGAAAGUGGAAUUCCUAGUGUAGCGGUGAAAUGCGUAGAUAUUAGGAGGAACACCAGUGGCGAAGGCGACUUUCUGGACAGUAACUGACGUUGAGGCACGAAAGUGUGGGGAGCAAACAGGAUUAGAUACCCUGGUAGUCCACACCGUAAACGAUGGAUACUAGGUGUAGGGGAUGAAUAAUCUUCUGUGCCGUCGCAAACGCAGUAAGUAUCCCACCUGGGGAGUACGGCCGCAAGGUUGAAACUCAAAGGAAUUGACGGGGGCCCGCACAAGCAGUGGAGUAUGUGGUUUAAUUCGACGCAACGCGAAGAACCUUACCAGGGCUUGACAUAUAGAGGAAUAUAGCAGAGAUGUUAUAGCUCUUCGGAGUCUCUAUACAGGUGGUGCAUGGUUGUCGACAGCUCGUGUCGUGAGAUGUUGGGUUAAGUCCCGCAACGAGCGCAACCCCUGUUCUUAGUUGCCAGCGAGUAGAGUCGGGAACUCUAAGAAGACUGCCGGUGAUAAAUCGGAGGAAGGUGGGGACGACGUCAAAUCAUCAUGCCCUUUAUGUCCUGGGCUACACACGUACUACAAUGGCUGUAACAAAGGGAAGCGAAGCCGCGAGGUGGAGCGAAACCCAAAAAAGCAGUCUCAGUUCGGAUUGAAGGCUGAAAUUCGCCUUCAUGAAGCCGGAAUUGCUAGUAAUGGCAGGUCAGCAUACUGCCGUGAAUACGUUCCCGGGCCUUGUACACACCGCCCGUCACACCAUGAGAGUUGGGAAUACCUGAAGCCUGUGAGCUAACAAUAUGAGGCAGCAGUCGAAGG